rnacentral:rRNA from 1 species
AUUGAACGCUGGCGGCAUGCUUUACACAUGCAAGUCGAACGGUAACAGGCCGCAAGGUGCUGACGAGUGGCGAACGGGUGAGUAAUGCAUCGGAACGUGCCCAGUCGUGGGGGAUAACGCAGCGAAAGCUGCGCUAAUACCGCAUACGAUCUCUGGAUGAAAGCGGGGGACCGAAAGGCCUCGCGCGAUUGGAGCGGCCGAUGUCAGAUUAGGUAGUUGGUGGGGUAAAGGCCCACCAAGCCAACGAUCUGUAGCUGGUCUGAGAGGACGACCAGCCACACUGGGACUGAGACACGGCACAGACUCCUACGGGAGGCAGCAGUGGGGAAUUUUGGACAAUGGGCGCAAGCCUGAUCCAGCAAUGCCGCGUGCAGGAAGAAGGCCUUCGGGUUGUAAACUGCUUUUGUACGGAACGAAACGGUUCGGGUUAAUACCCUGGGCUAAUGACGGUACCGUAAGAAUAAGCACCGGCUAACUACGUGCCAGCCGCCGCGGUAACAC